UCUGUCUCCCAAGAUUCCUCUCUCUCUCUCUCUCUCUCUCUCCCGACUUCCAUGACCAGCGGCCGCCACUUCCGAUUCUGGCUAGAUCCGGCGACGUCUCGCGUUGUAGGUCAUAGGCCAGCACCCCCCAACCUCCCAGUACUCUCCUCAUAUAUUCCGUCGUGGCGACGCCCUCUGCGUCCCUGCACGUGUCUCUAUGGCAACCGUAGUCGCCACGCGUUGCCGGCGCCCGGCGCAGCUCCCACGCCUCUGGUUUGGAGGGCCACCACCCAGCGUCUCAGCAUGCGCUGGUGCCGGCUUGGGCAUGACGGUGCUGCUCCGCCUCGGCUACCUUGUGUCGACGGUCAAUCAGGAUUGCAGGUUGGAUCUGAAACAAUUUGCGGUGUAGGGUGCUGCUCCCUUCUCUCGGUGCUGGCUGGCAGUGGAGACAGGUUCGAGGUAGGAGGAGCUCGGGCUGGAGCCCCGUCCGUAUUCCUCAAUUACCAAUGGGAUCCCGCCUGUGUUGGUGGUUCUUGCGGCUCGCAAAGCCUUCGGCGGCGAUGUGGCUCCUUUUGUAUUUAUUUUGGUGCCCGUCCUGGUCCUGUUCCGAUUCCUGGCUCGCGUGCAUGUGCCCGUGAUGUGUGCGCGUGCUGAUGGAUAUUACAACCCUUCGUGACGCUGAUUGUUUGCUACCACCGUUGUCUGCUAUUGCUUUUGUCGCUGACUGCUAUUGCUACUGCUGCUCAUUUUUCUGCUAUUUAGUACUAAUACAGUAGAUAGAAGAUGAUCUGCAUUCCCAAAGAAAAUAAAUAGAAGAUAAUCUGUAUGUUUGAAAAUUGUGAACCGAGCCAACUACUUGUUAUCUCUUCUCUAAACUUUCUCUUGAUCAGAUUCUCUUUUGUGCUGCAAAAAUUACUCAAUGCACAUAUAAUUAAUGUGUUCAGUAAAACUCAUGGAAAAAUCUAGCUCCUUAUUGAUUCCAUGGUCCCUUUUCCUUACAAUUGUUUGCUUUAUGUGUCUCGCUUCCAAUUGCAGAGAAAAUAUUUUUCAGAAAAGGAAAGUAGGAUUUCAACGCUGUGCGCCCGUGCUCCACACCUAAGUUUGAUCCAACUGGAAUUCGUGGUGUUCAAGAAUGAUGCCUCAUCGUGUAAACAGCUUCAGGGGCAGAUGGAUAUGUAUGGCUUACUACCUCAUUGCAGAAUGUGGGGCAACCCAGUCGCUUCCUUGAAUACCGUCCCCUCGUUCAGGCCACUAAGGUGUCCGUUUCCACAUCUUCUCAUGUCGUAGCACUCUUAUUUAUUCCAUAUCUUCAAUUUUUACACUAACUGGUCCAUAUAUGUCUAUAUUUUCCGGUCUUCACUUUUG